GGGCGUGUUCUAUAUUUAUAGGUUUACUCUGCAGAGGUAAUUUUAGGAUUAUCUUCCUCGCGUCUU
rnacentral:tRNA from 1 species